UACGAAGGGGGCUAGCGUUUGUUCGGAAUUACUGGGCGUAAAGCGCACGUAGGCGGAUUGUUAAGUUAGGGGUGAAAUCCCAGGGCUCAACCCUGGAACUGCCUUUAAUACUGGCAAUCUCGAGUCCGAGAGAGGUGAGUGGAAUUCCGAGUGUAGAGGUGAAAUUCGUAGAUAUUCGGAGGAACACCAGUGGCGAAGGCGGCUCACUGGCUCGGUACUGACGCUGAGGUGCGAAAGCGUGGGGAGCAAACAGGG
rnacentral:rRNA from 1 species